rnacentral:lncRNA from 1 species
GUUAGAUCUUCCAUAGGAGAUUUCUGAGCACAGGUGGGAAGCAUUGGGAUGAUAUGGUAAGUUUAGCUGAAGGGCUGAGGAGGAGGGAUUCAGGUUCAAUCUACUGGUGAGGUGAAUCUGAGGGAUGGGAUCUGAGGCUGAGAUGAGAAUGUGAUCACAGCUCUAUUAACCACAGCUCUUCAAACCAUAACUAAUGCACAGCUAAAACUAGGCUUCAUUGGGAAGAUAGGAGCCAUAAGCAGCCAUCACUACUCUUCACCAGAUGGACUUGUUUUGCAAAGCUAAGUCUUUAGUGUUUCGCUGAUGGUUGCCAAUACGCAUCUCCUGUCUGAGUUCUUCCUGUUGUUGUUUUCCUUUUCAAGCCUCAGUGGCUCACCUCACAUCAGUCACAGCUGUACCAAACUGAGAUGGCAAAGCCUCCGUUGCUCAGGAAGAACACCAUGAAAAGUACGUGGGGGCCUUAGCUGAAGCAAUGGGCAAAUGAUGCUGGAACCUGUAGGAUGAGUACAUCCUGCUUGCAAGGAGCCAUAAGAGUGUGGGCAGAGGUGAGGGCUUCCCCAGGGAAGAAAGGGCACUGAUGGCAGAAGAUGGUGGCUAUUUUUUUUCCUCCAAGAUGAUAUAUGUAGGAAUGAACAGAACUUGCAGUUGUAUCAACUUCUCACAAAUUUCAAAGGCU